GACGAACGCUGGCGGCGUGCUUAACACAUGCAAGUCGAACGGAAAGGCCCUGCUUUUGUGGGGUGCUCGAGUGGCGAACGGGUGAGUAACACGUGAGUAACCUGCCCUUGACUUUGGGAUAACUUCAGGAAACUGGGGCUAAUACCGGAUAGGAGCUCCUGCUGCAUGGUGGGGGUUGGAAAGUUUCGGCGGUUGGGGAUGGACUGGCGGCUUAUCAGCUUGUUGGUUGGGUAGUGGCUUACCAAGGCUUUGACGGGUAGCCGGCCUGAGAGGGUGACAGGCCCCAUUAGACCUGAGCUGCGACACAGCCCAGUACGCGAGGCAGCGGAGGAGAGUAUUGCACUAUGGGAGGAAGCAUAACCUAGUCAAGCAGCGUGGGGGGAGACAGCAUUGGGUUUGUAAACCGCAUUCGCCUGUGACGAAGCGUUAGUGACGGUAAUGGGUGAAGAAGCACCGGCUAACUCCGUG
rnacentral:rRNA from 1 species